AAGUCGUAACAAGGUAACCGUAGGUGAACCUGCGGUUGGAUCAUUAGUGGUUUUUUGGCAGCGCUGUUGUAGUGUAUGGUGGUAUGUUGGGUUUUGGUGUUGUGUUGUUGGUUGUUGCCUGGCCUUGGUCUUGCCUUGGUCUUGGCACAGCAACGGACGACGGCACACUCGGACCAGACCCAACAGACCUCGCCAGAUAGACGUCUUUGCUUGCUUUGAUGAAACCAAAUCAAAAACAACUUUUGACAACGGAUCUCUUGGCUCUC
rnacentral:misc_RNA from 1 species